rnacentral:lncRNA from 10 species
GGUGGCCAAGAGGAAAGAGGAGUUGUCGAAAGUAAUUGAGGACUGGAAGAGUUAAACCUUUGGCCUAAGAUUGGGGCAGAGCUGGAACCAACCAAGAACUUCUGAUGCUAGUGCUUGUGAAAUCCUGACAAGAUAAGAAAGCAACAAGGAGGAAGGAAUUCUAGGUGGGGGAGAACAAUUGCUCUGGGAGACAGCUCAUCAAAAACAACCUGCUAGCACAACAUCCUGUUCCCAAAACCCUGUUCCACAUGUAACCUUUCCAGCACAAC